AGUUUGAUCCUGGCUCAGGAUGAACGCUGGCGGCGUGCCUAACACAUGCAAGUCGAGCGAAGCACUUUGCUUUGAUUCUUUCGGGAGGAAAAGUAAUUUGACUGAGCGGCGGACGGGUGAGUAACGCGUGGGUAACCUGCCUCAUACAGGGGGAUAACAGUUAGAAAUGACUGCUAAUACCGCAUAAGACCACAGUACUGCAUGGUACAGUGGUAAAAACUCCGGUGGUAUGAGAUGGGCCCGCGUCUGAUUAGCUGGUUGGUGGGGUAACGGCCCACCAAGGCGACGAUCAGUAGCCGGCCUGAGAGGGUGAACGGCCACAUUGGGACUGAGACACGGCCCAAACUCCUACGGGAGGCAGCAGUGGGGGAUAUUGCACAAUGGGGGGAACCCUGAUGCAGCGACGCCGCGUGAGCGAUGAAGUAUUUCGGUAUGUAAAGCUCUAUCAGCAGGGAAGAGAAUGACGGUACCUGACCAAGAAGCCCCGGCUAAAUACGUGCCAGCAGCCGCGGUAAUACGUAUGGGGCAAGCGUUAUCCGGAUUUACUGGGUGUAAAGGGAGCGUAGGCGGCAGGGCAAGCCUGAUGUGAAAGCCCGGGGCUCAACCCCGGGACUGCAUUGGGAACUGCCCCGCUCGAGUGCCGGAGGGGCAGGCGGAAUUCCUAGUGUAGCGGUGAAAUGCGUAGAUAUUAGGAGGAACACCAGUGGCGAAGGCGGCCUGCUGGACGGUGUACUGACGCUGAGGCUCGAAAGCGUGGGGAGCAAACAGGAUUAGAUACCCUGGUAGUCCACGCCGUAAACGAUGAAUAUUAGGGUGUCGGGGAGCAAAAGUUCUUUGGGCCGGCAGCCAACCGCAGUAAGUAUUCCACCUGGGGAGACCGUUCCCAAGAAGAAAACUCAAAGGAAUGGACGGGGACCCCCACAAGCGGUGGAGCAUGUGGUUUAUUUGGAAGCAACGCGAAGACCCUUCCCAAGUCUUGACAUCCGGAUGACCGGAACUUAACCGUUCCUUCCCUUCGGGGCAUCCGAGACAGGUGGUGCAUGGUUGUCGUCAGCUCGUGCCGUGAGAUGUUGGGUUAAGUCCCGCAACGAGCGCAACCCUUAUCUUUAGUAGCCAGCGGAAGAAGCCGGCCACUCUAGAGAGACUGCCAGGGAUAACCUGGAGGAAGGUGGGGAGGACGUCAAAUCAUCAUGCCCCUUAUGAUUUGGGCUACACACGUGCUACAAUGGCGUAAACAAAGGGAAGCGAGCAUGCGAAUGUAAGCAAAUCUCAAAAAUAACGUCUCAGUUCGGAUUGUAGUCUGCAACUCGACUACAUGAAGCUGGAAUCGCUAGUAAUCGCGAAUCAGCAUGUCGCGGUGAAUACGUUCCCGGGUCUUGCACACACCGCCCGUCA
rnacentral:rRNA from 1 species